UAACAAAAAAUUAUUUUAUAAUUAAGUUAUAUUAUUAAAUAAUAAAAGUAAUUUUAAUUAAAAAUGUUAUUGUAUUUUUUAAAAAUUAAAUAAUUGAUAUAAUAGUGAAUAGUAUAGUGAUAGAAAUUUGAAAUAAAAUUAAUUAAUUAAAAAGUAAUUAUAAUUUAAUGUACCUUUUGUAUCAGGGUUUAUUAAAUAAUUCAUAUAAAUUUAUGUUUCUCGAAUUUAAGAGAGUUAAAAUAAUAUGAAGGUUAUUGUUUUAUAAAUAUCUUUAAUAUUAUUUUAGUAAUUAAAAGUUAAUCGUUCUUAAAUAUAUCUAGUUUUUUAAGAAAUAAAUUUAAUUUAUUGUUAAUUUUAUAUUAAUUUAAUUUUGAAAUUUAAUAUAAGUUAAUAAAAAUUUUUAUGGGGAUGAGCUUAUAAAAAUUUAUUAUAAAUUUAUAAUAAAAUAAAAUAUAUAGGAUUAGAAAUUUUCAUUAUUAAAAAAAGUGUUAUAAUUUAUUAAUUUUAAAAAUUAUUUAUUAAAUUUUAAUUUUUUUAUUAAAAUAUUUAUUUAAAUAAUAAAAAUAAAGUAAUAAUGAUAAAAUUAGUAUUAUUUUAAGUAAAAUAUAAAAUUUUAUAAAGAUAAAAUUAAGGAAUUCAGCAAAUUAAUAUUCACCUGUUUAUCAAAAACAUGUCUUUUUGUUAAAAAUAAAAAGUCUAACCUGCCCACUGAUAAAUAUUAAAGGGCCGCGGUAUAUUGACUGUGCAAAGGUAGCAUAAUCAUUUGUCUCUUAAUUGGAGGCUGGAAUGAAUGGUUGAAUGAAAUAUUAACUGUCUCAGUUUUAAAAAAAUAAAAAUUUAAUUUUUAAGUUAAAAAGCUUAAAUAUUUUUAAAGGACGAGAAGACCCUAUAGAUCUUUAUAUUUAUUAAAAUAUUAUAAUAUAGAAAAAUAAUAAAUAAUAUUUUAAUAAGUAUUUUAUUGGGGUGAUAGGAAAAUUUAAUAAACUUUUUUUCAUUGUUAAACAUAGAUUUAUGAAUAAUUGAUCCAUUAUUUAUGAUUAAAAGAUUAAGUUACCUUAGGGAUAACAGCGUAAUUUUUUUAAAGAGUUCAUAUCGAUAAAAAAGAUUACGACCUCGAUGUUGAAUUAAAGUUAUUUUUAGAUGUAGCAGUUUAAAAUAUAGGUCUGUUCGACCUUUAAAUCUUUACAUGAUUUGAGUUCAGACCGGCGUGAGCCAGGUCGGUUUCUAUCCUUAAUAAAUUAAAAUAUUUUAGUACGAAAGGACCAAAUAUUUAAAUUAAAUUUUUAAUAUAGAAUAAUAUU
rnacentral:rRNA from 1 species